rnacentral:snRNA from 1 species
UAAAUUGUGCCGUGACAGUAUCACAGUCUGUGAGGGUCAACCAAGGCAUGAUUAUUACUAGUUGAAAACUUUCCCCCUUCUCCCUUUUCCAAGUAUUGCUCAUUUCAGAUGAUAAUACCAACAAAGAAAUAACCCCUCAAGGG